GGAUUGUCGCGUUCCCUUCCCCAGGGUCGGUCCCUGCGGGAUUGUCGCCCUUGCGGGGGUAACGCUUCCCACAGAAUCGCCUGCGGGAUUAUCGAGUCCAGCCUGCGAGCGGACACAAUCCCAGAAUUGAGUUGGAAGGGAGCACUGCGGGUGUUCUGGUCCAGCCUGCCUUCUCCAGCACCCCGGAGCACAUGGCAUGGGAUUGUGUCCAGAGGGUUCUGGAAUAUCUCUAGUGGGGGAGACUCCACACUCUUCUCCGGACAGUGUGUUCCAGUGCACGGUCAUCCACACUGGAAAGGUUUCUGUCCCUUCCCAAGUGUCUGUCCAGCAUCCCGUAACCGCAGUCUGUGGGAUUGCUGCACUCAGAGGGGCACGCUUUUCACAGAAUCACACAGGUGUUGAGGUUGGAAAAGACCUCCAAUACCAAGUCCAACCUGUGAUCAAUCCCCAACUUGUCAACCAGCCCAGACCACAAAUAUGCUUUUCUCUCUCUCUGGUGAUUGGAACUGAGAUUUUGGGCAGGAGGGUUGAGUUCCCUCCUGCCAACGAUGGAUAACAUUUUUGCUGGAGUCGGAGGACGCUGCCCAAGCUGGUUGAAGCUACGAGGAGUGAUAACUACUUUCCAUCCAGGAGAAUGAUCACAUUUCUGGGAUGCUUAGAUUAGGUUUAGGAUUUCAAAAGUCAGCAACUGUUUAAUAAAAAGCUCAUAAGCAGAGUGGAAACAAGGACAAGAUUAAAGGAAUUUCCUCCUCACUUCCUGCUAGAUCAGAUCCCUUAGGCUUUUCUUCUGCCAUAUGAAUCUUGUAUUUCUUGUCAGACACUAACAGGGUUUCAAGAGGAGGAAGAAACACAGAUAAACAUCUGGCAGUGUGUUAGGGAAGGAGAUUGAGGUCUAAAACCACCUUCUCCUCACAGAUACAGACAUGCACAGGUACCUCCUCUCACCAGCCAGGAAAAGGACAAGAGAUUAUCCACUUUCUUGGGAAAACUGGCCAAUAAACAAGCAUGGAUGAGAUGGACGAGGCGAGCCAAGCUUGAUGUGUUUUAGGAUCUGGUGUGACACAUGGAAGGGACUGUCAGCUGCUGGCACCUGAGUGGAGUUUCUGCUACUUUAGGUCCUUGAAGCACCACCCUUAAUCCAGGUGAACAAGGCAGGCCCAGCUCCAGCCAAGACCAUCAGGCGAGUUCAUGGUAGCAGGUCUGAGAUCAGGCUGAGAAUCAACAACAGCUCCGGGGCUGUUCCUCAGGGCCAUUCCUCAGGGGCCAUUCCAGCAACACAGGACAUUCUGAGCACUGGGACACGGUGCAGGGACUGCCAGCAGGUCCACAGGGGUGAGACAGGCCAGUCCAUUCAGUGAACCCUCUGGCAAGAGGGAAUGGGAGCGAUGUUCCCCCGGAUCAGCAGCUCCCUGUGCCAUUCCCCACAGCUGCCGGAGUGCUGGAUCCAGCAAAGGUGAGGGGGACCCUUCUCCAGGGUCUCCACUGAACCGCUGCUUUUGGCAGCAACUGCUGCUACACCUCUUCAGCUGCAACACAGGAGUGUUUCCUUCAUCUCUCUGAAGGAAGAUGUCCAUGAGAUCCAGAUUCCUCUGAGCUGGGCACAUGGAUAACCCAGUAGAUACAAAAAAAAAAUCCGUGGCAGAUGCAGAAACUAAAUGCAGAUUCUCCAAGUUCUCUUUUCGCUUCGAAGUUUUAGCUCCAUGCAGCGUGAGAGGAUAAAUCAUUUAUAAUUAAAAAACAAACCACUUAUUUUUAGCUGCAAAUCUACCAAAGUGCAUGCAAUUAGCAGAUAUAAAUCACUUCCUGGCUCGCAGGCUGCUCAGCACAGCACAUAAAUGAAAGUUAAAACAUACGUUUGGGGAAUACGUGGUACAUCUGCUCUCAAUCUGCAGCAUUUGGAAAUCAAUACAAAUAUUCUCCCUGCUUUAACAUGCUGCAGGCUGUCAUCCCACAGUGGAAGGGCUAAAAAUAUAUUAAACAAAGGAACUGGAGUGGACACGGCCCUAAAGACCCCAAAAUGGAUAGCAGGGAGUGACCACAGUGAUCUGAUGGCAAAAAGAAUUCCAGAUUUUUUGAUUCCACCAUUUGAGGCCAUAUCAAUCAUCCUUUUCCCCCUUGAAGUUCAACUGGAAUUACACCAGCGUGUUCA